rnacentral:rRNA from 1 species
AAUAGCCUAACGGCUGAACCAGCAACUUGGAGGAAUGUAAGGCAAUAGCCUAAUGCAUUAUUUUAAUGUUUAAUCGACCAUGUCGAAUAAAAUUCUAGGUAGAGUUUUGACAAUGACAUUCUCUAUCUAUGUGUCUUGACCAAAUUACGUGCCAGCAGUCGCGGUAAUACGUAAAAGACUAGUGUUAUUCAUCUUUAAUAGGUUUAAAGAGUACCAAGACGGUUAAUAAAGCCCCUAAAGGGUACAAAUUAACUAGAGUUAUAUGAAAGGGAGCUCUUAGGUACUGUUGAGUGUAGAGAUGAAAUUCUGUGAUACCAGAUGAUUGGCACGGGUCUAUGCGAAGGCAUCUCCUUAUGUAAUAACUGACGUUGUAGGACGAAGGCUUUUGAAGUGAACAGGAUUCGAUACCCCAGUAAUCUAAGCAGAAAAUGAUGAGUGUCAUAGGUUAAAUAUAAUUUAGUCUAUAAAUGAAAGUGUAAGCAUUCCACCUCAAGAGUAAUUUGGCAACAUUGGAACUGAAAUCAUUAGACCGUUUCUGAAACCAGUAGUGAAGUAUGUUUUUUAAUUUGAUGAUCCGCAAAAGAACCUUACCACUUUUAAUAAUGUUAAAAUUAUUAUUUUUUUUUUUUUUUACAUUGUUAAAAUUAUUAUCUUGAAUAAAUAUUUUUUUAAUAUUUACAAGCGUUGCACGGCUGUCUUCAGUUAAUGUCGUGAGAUUUUGGUUAGUUCCAUUAAAUUAACGAAAACCCUUACUUUAUUUUAAUAUAAAGUUGUUCACCGUUAUAUUGGAUAUGAUAAUAGGGACCAGGACAAGUCAUCAUGACCUAAAUAUUGU